CACCAGGCGCGAAAACUUUGCAAUACACGAAAGUGUGACAGGGUCAUCCCGAGUGCCGACCGCUGAGGUUGGCUUUUACCCAGUCUAGAAAGCUGGGGGAAUAAGGAGAGGGCAAGUCUGGUGUCAGCCGCCGCGGUAAUACCAGCUCUCCGAGUGGUGUGGACGUUUAUUGGGCCUAAAGCAUCCGUAGCUGGCUGAACAAGUCCCCUGUUAAACCCACCGAUUUAAUCGUUGGUCUGCGGGGGAUACUGCUCGGCUAGGGGACGAGAGAGGCAGACGGUAUUCCCGGGGUAGGGGUGAAAUCCUAUAAUCCCGAGAAGACCACCAGUGGCGAAGGCUGUCUGCUAGAACGCGCCCGACGGUGAGGGAUGAAAGCUGGGGGAGCGAACCGGAUUAGAUACCCGGGUAGUCCCAGCUGUAAACGAUGCAGACUAGGUGUUUGGACGGCCACGUGCCGUUCUAGUGCCGCAGGGAAGCUGUUAAGUCUGCCGCCUGGGGAGUACGAUCGCAAGAUUGAAACUUAAAGGAAUUGGCGGGGGAGCAC
rnacentral:rRNA from 1 species